GGUUCGAUGGCGUAGUUGGUUAUCGCAUCUGUCUAACAUGGCAGUAUAAACUCGUAAUUACACAGAAGGUCCCCAGUUCGAGCCUGGGUCGAAUCA